GUAGGUGGCGAGCGUUGUCCGGAUUUACUGGGCGUAAAGAGCGCGCAGGCGGCUGGGCAAGUCCGAUGUGAAAGCUUCCGGCUUAACUGGAAAAUUGCAUUGGAAACUGCUCGGCUUGAAGGUGGGAGAGGGUAGCGGAAUUCCCGGUGUAGUGGUGAAAUGCGUAGAUAUCGGGAGGAACACCAGUGGCGAAGGCGGCUACCUGGCCCAUUCUUGACGCUGAGGCGCGAAAGCUAGGGGAGCAAACGGGAUUAGAUACCCCGGUAGUCCUAGCCGUAAACGAUGAACACUAGGCGUAGUCGGUAUCGACCCCGGCUGUGCCGUAGCCAACGCAUUAAGUGUUCCGCCUGGGGAGUACGGCCGCAAGGCUAAA
rnacentral:rRNA from 1 species